GUUUAGAGACCAAAGUUGGUCGCUAAUUAGCGACCAACUUUGGUCCCUAAAUAAAAGGGACCAUCAAUAUAGCUACCAGGCCCCUGUGGUCGCUUUUUAGCCCAAUAGCAACCAAUUCUGGUCGCUUUUUGCGAUCGUUUUUCCCCGGAUUUCUAAUAGUGUCUGCCUCCAAUGCAAGGUGUGCCUAGCACAAGUCGGCCCCGCCAUCUAGAGGGUGGUCGUUCGCCUUCGUUUUUCUAUACGAAGGCACGUCUUCCUCUCACUCUUGAGCACCGUAUUAGCCUCAGAAAACCCAAGAUCUUUAUGAGUGGUGUUUUUAUGCUGUCUAGCCACGGAGGCAAUAACAUUCUUACCAAUACUGACGAUGACAACAACCUGGGUUAGUUGAUCCCAAUUUUUGACAUUAUCCUAUAAAGACAAAGACUAUAUUCGAAGUCUUAGAACGACACUGUCCAAUACUGGGCCUGAGGUCGUCAUCCCCGAUCUACUUGUCUAGAUAUAGGUCUUUCUAGAUCUCCUUGGACUGAACGUUCCGGAAGACCCGUCCUAGUGGCCAAAAUCACCGUGUGGAAGCCCAAGCCUCAGGGGCUUCUAACCAAGAAAGUCCCUCACGGGGUGACUAAGCCCCUGAUGCUCGGGGAUAUGGCUAAGGGGAUCAAGAAGAGGCCCGACUCUUCUACUGCUCGCUUUGCUGCCCUUUCCAAGAGACGAAAGACAAAAAAGUUGAAACAACCCGAUUCUGCUGAGGGGGAUGAUGUAUUGGUCCAGAGGGUGAGGACCCAAGAAGUUCGUUCUCGCCUCGUGUAUGAAGGGGAUAACGCCAUGACUAAUAACACCAUGAUCGAUGCGGGAGACAGCGAGGACGUAGCUCCCGCUACUACUAUCACGACCUUAUCUUCGAAGUUUGACCUAAUAAGGUGGAGAUCCCUACCUUGAUCGAUCCUUCGACUGCCGAUUGAGACUGAGUAAAUUUCGCACUGGAUACUUAGAGUUCCGAACAAUCGGCAUCCCCAUUCCCUCUGUGCUCUCCCCAAAUAUUUCUACACCAGAACAGGGAGGGCCUUCAUCUGACUGGGUAUGUAGCUUGUCGAUCUCCGGUCCCUUGAGAGGACAUGUUCUCUUGCUAUGCUGGUCCAGCGUACCAUCCAAAUAGCAGGCCCUUCUAGGAUUGAAUACCAAGAGCAUUUGAGCGAGAUGUCGACUGAAGAUCUCCUGAACAAGUCGGUGCACACUACACUGAAGAUCCACUCAUCUUCUACUAUGAUUCUCCGUAAUUAUCACGCUGAGAAGGCAAAAUGGCUUAAGGGGAUGGAGGAGCUAAAGUCUUGUCUAUUAGCUCGUGAGCAAGAACUUCUCGCAGAGAAGUAAGAGACAGAGGCCCGCGGACGACAGCUUGCUGAGGCUUGGGAAGCCAUUUCCACAAAGAAGCUACAUGCUCUAGAAUUCAAGGGCAAGCUUGCUACCUCAAUCGCUCAUGAUUGUGAUCUCUUUGGCAAGGUCCAAUCUCAUGAGCUAAAAGAUUGUCUCCAGGAGCAGCGACAAGCUUUUCUUACAGAGGAGCUAAGCCGGCUCUAAGGAAGGCCCAAAAGCCUCAAGUUCGAGCUGCAAGCUUCCGCUACCCGAGAAAUGAAUUUUAAGCUCAGCUCAAAUCUCGAUAGGAGGAUCUUCUGUUAAAAAAUGCCCGGGAAGUAAAAAUGGCUAAUGCUGACGCCGAAAAAGGAGAUCUUCUAAGUACUACAAGCCAGCUGAGCGCACGGAGGGUGGCACUGUAGGACGUUUAUCUUUAACGCCGUAGAUCCUGCUUAGAGGCUUAAGGAGGUCCGAGUCCUAUAAGUCAAUGCCUUGGCCGCCUUGGAACCCUACCAGAGUUCUUCGAAGGGCGAUCUUGAUUUGGAGAGCUCAUCCGGCAAGAAAAGCAACACUAUUAAAGAAAUAGUGUUCGGCCACGUUCUCAUCUCUCUGAUCUAGGCCCUUCAAUAACUGCCCAUCAACCUCCGCAGGCACUUUCGGUCACUCCUAGUUAUAUCGAGUUUGCUUAGUCCUCCGUGGAUGUCUGUAUUUGUAUAUUUUUUGUUUGUAUCUUUGGGUGCCCGGGUCAGACGUUUUAGACCCCUAAUGCACAAAUAAUGUUUGCUCCCAUUAAAUAAAAUUCAAAAUUUUCUCGGU